UUUUAUAAUAAUAAUUAAUUAAAUUAUUACUUAAAUGGGUUAACCCAUUUAACGACUCAACCCAUCAAAUUAAAUGAGUUAUGGGUUGACUCAACCCAUUUAGCAAAAUGAGUUGGGUCAACCCAUAACUCAUUUAAUUCUAAACUCAUUUGAUUAUGAGUUGAGUUGAGUUGGGUUACCCAUUUUGACACCCCUAACUGCAGUAUAUGAUU
rnacentral:sRNA from 1 species